GGUUAAGCGACUAAGCGUACACGGUGGAUGCCCUGGCAGUCAGAGGCGAUGAAGGACGUGCUAAUCUGCGAUAAGCGCCGGUAAGGUGAUAUGAACCGUUAUAACCGGCGAUUUCCGAAUGGGGAAACCCAGUGUGACUCGUCACACUAUCAUUAACUGAAUCCAUAGGUUAAUGAGGCGAACCGGGGGAACUGAAACAUCUAAGUACCCCGAGGAAAAGAAAUCAACCGAGAUUCCCCCAGUAGCGGCGAGCGAACGGGGAGGAGCCCAGAGCCUGAAUCAGCAUGUGUGUUAGUGGAAGCGUCUGGAAAGGCGCGCGAUACAGGGUGACAGCCCCGUACACAAAAGCGCAUAUGCUGUGAGCUCGAUGAGUAGGGCGGGACACGUGGUAUCCUGUCUGAAUAUGGGGGGACCAUCCUCCAAGGCUAAAUACUCCUGACUGACCGAUAGUGAACCAGUACCGUGAGGGAAAGGCGAAAAGAACCCCGGCGAGGGGAGUGAAAAAGAACCUGAAACCGUGUACGUACAAGCAGUGGGAGCCCCACCACUAAGCCAGUGGUGAACUCCACAUACGCAUCCUUUGCUGAGGAUACGGUUAACGGAGCGAAAGCGACGUUCAACCGCAAAAGAAGCAGAGGGGGC
rnacentral:rRNA from 1 species